UGUGAAUGGGAAUCGAACCCACAGUGUUCCGCUUACCGGGAAGAUGCCAUGUCCACUAGGCUACCC
rnacentral:tRNA from 1 species